rnacentral:misc_RNA from 1 species
GGCGGCUUCACUUCACGCUUCACUGGUGUAUAUGGUCCAAAUUAAACAAACUGGAUGAUGUGAGGAACCUGGCGAAUUUAGGCCUGAGCCAGCCUCGCCUCCGCUCCCGGCGGGAUGGGGAUGGUGGCGCUGCUGGGCUCGGCCUCUGCCUCUGCCUCUGCCUGCCUCGCCUCCGCCCCCGGGGCAGGCCGCUCAUCGAUGCUUCUGCUGCGAGAGCGAAGCCUCUCCAGGAAGAAUUCAGUGAGGACAGGCUCAAAGCCGGGCAUUUUGGAGUAGCCCGGGCAGUAGUUGAUGUCGAGGACGAGGUACUUAUUGGCGUCGCCGCCUGCAGCGUCGUCCCUCGUCCGGAUGAGGUCGAAGUUGAUGAGGUGCAGGCCCACUGCCCGCCGGAUCUCGCGGGCGACCCUGUCGACGAAGUCCUGGGGCGGCGGUACCACCUUCUCGGAGCCCUCGUCGCCGCCGCUGGGGGCGAGGAGGGAGAUGUUGGCGAAGGGGGCCGCGGCGGCGGCGGCGGGGUCCCGGAGGCGCUCCGGCGGCACGUCCGGCAGGCUGCUCCGCACCACGCACGUGGCGCGGUCGCCCACCACGUACACCUUGAAGAGCACGCCGCCGUGGUUGGCGAACUCCUGCAGCACGAGCGGCGGGCGGCCGCGCAGGCCGCGCAGGCCCUCGCGGCGGUACACCAGGCAGAGGUCGUGCGACGCCGCGCUGCCGUCCACCUCCACGGGCUUGGCGACGAGCGGGAACCGGAGGCCGCCGAGGCCGAGCACGUCGUCGGCGGCGGCGUCGGCGGCCUGCUGCAGGGCCCCGGCGUCGUGGACCAUGACCUGCCUGGGCACGGCCACGCAGUCGAGCCCCGAGACGACGUCCAGCAUGGUGAAGCGGUCCAGGAUGCGGUCGAUGGCGGCGGGCGGGUCGAUGAUUGGGACGUCCGGGUGGAGCGCCGAGAAGGCCUCCAGCCGCGCGCGCCACGCCUGGCCGUACAGCUUGUGCACGACGAGGUCCAGCUGGGGGCCCUGCUCCGCGAGCGGCCUGGAGGCGUCGAGCGCCACGAGCCGGAUGCCGUGCUGCGCUGCCAGGUCGAUGAACGACGGCUGGACGAAGGUAUCGUGCUUGUUGGGCAGCAUCGCGUAGCCGAUGGUGUAUGCGGCGCGAGGCCGCGGCGAGCUGCCGCCUGAGGACUGGCACUGCUCCGCCGCCAUUGACUUGGUGGACUAUCGCUCUAGCCGGAGGCAAUUCGUAGUCGUAGCCGCCCGUGUGUGUAUCUUAAGUAGCACAGCACAGCAGUACCAAAAGAAAGGUACAGUACAGCUCUAGGCGGACUGGCACUGCUCUUGCUCGAAUCAGAUGCGAAGUUGUUAAUUAGACGGUACAGCUUGAUCGUCUAUAUCCAUCCAUAUACAUAUAACAACCCUUGUAUAUCUUAUCUUUUGUAUUAGCUAUA